UACAGAGGGUGCAAGCGUUAAUCGGAAUUACUGGGCGUAAAGCGUGCGUAGACGGUUUAUGUAAGUCAGAUGUGAAAGCCCCGGGCUCAACCUGGGAAUUGCAUUUGAGACUGCAUAGCUAGGGUGCGGAAGAGGGAAGCGGAAUUUCCGGUGUAGCGGUGAAAUGCGUAGAUAUCGGAAGGAACACCAGUGGCGAAAGCGGCUUCCUGGUCCAGCACCGACGUUCAGGCACGAAAGCGUGGGGAGCAAACAGG
rnacentral:rRNA from 1 species